GCUCAGCCGAACGGUGAGGCCGAUGGCAGAACAGGUUAAUAUUCCUGUACUACCUGUAGGAGUGAUGUGGAGACGGAGGAGUGACAACGCCGCGGACUGACGGAAUAGUCCGUUAAAGGGUGUAGAUGUUGAUUAUCCCAGGCAAAUCCGGGAUAAGAGUCGAACCUGACAGUAUACCAAUUUCCUCGGAAAACGGUAAUAGUGCGUGUAAACAUACUCCCAAGAAAAUCCGCUAAACUUAAUCUUACAGGUACCCGUACCGUAAACGGACACACGUAGUCGGGUUGAAUAUACUCAGGCGCUUGAGUGAAUCACGGUUAAGGAACUAGGCAAAUUGACCCUGUAACUUCGGGAUAAAGGGUCCCUACCCGGUGACGGGAGGGCGCAGAGAAUAGGUCCAGGCAACUGUUUAACAAAAACACAGGGCUGUGCAAAAUUGAAAGAUCACGUAUACAGCCUGACACCUGCCCGGUGCUGGAAGGUUAAGAGGAGAUGUCAUCGCAAGAGAAGCAUUGAAUUGAAGCCCCAGUAAACGGCGGCCGUAACUAUAACGGUCCUAAGGUAGCGAAAUUCCUUGUCGGGUAAGUUCCGACCUGCACGAAUGGUGUAAUGAUCUGGACACUGUCUCAACCGUGAGCUCAGUGAAAUUGUAGUAUCGGUGAAGAUGCCGAUUACCCGCGAUGGGACGAAAAGACCCCGUGAACCUUUACUAUAGCUUAACAUUGAAUUUGGGUAAUUGAUGUGUAGGAUAGGCCGGAGACUUUGAAGCAGGUACGCCAGUAUUUGUGGAGUCGCUGUUGAAAUACGGCCCUUUGAUUAUUUGAGUUCUAACUCGUGGUACGAGGACACUGUUUGGUGGGUAGUUUGACUGGGGUGGUCGCCUCCAAAAUAGUAACGGAGGCUUCUAAAGGUGCCCUCAGGACGAUUGGUAACCGUCCGCAGAGUGUAAUGGCAUAAGGGCGCUUGACUGGGAGACUUACAAGUCGAUCAGGUAGGAAACUAGAGCAUAGUGAUCCGGUGUUUCCGUAUGGAA
rnacentral:rRNA from 1 species